rnacentral:rRNA from 1 species
GACGAACGCUGGCGGCGGGCUUAACACAUGCAAGUCGAACGGAAAGGCCCAGCUUGCUGGGUGCUCGAGUGGCGAACGGGUGAGUAACACGUGGGUGAUCUGCCCCUAACUUCGGGAUAAGCUUGGGAAACUGGGUCUAAUACCGGAUAGGACAAUCGUUUAGUGUCGGUUGUGGAAAGUUUUUUCGGUUAGGGAUGAGCCCGCGGCCUAUCAGCUUGUUGGUGGGGUAACGGCCUACCAAGGCGUCGACGGGUAGCCGGCCUGAGAGGGUGGACGGCCACAUUGGGACUGAGAUACGGGCCAGACUCCUACGGGAGGCAGCAGUGGGGAAUAUUGCACAAUGGGCGCAAGCCUGAUGCAGCGACGCCGCGUGGGGGAUGACGGCCUUCGGGUUGUAAACCUCUUUCGACAGGGACGAAGCUUUGGUGACGGUACCUGUAUAAGAAGCACCGGCUAACUACGUGCCAGCCGCCGCCGUAA